AAUGUGAGAGGGGAUUAUUUACAAAAAAAAAGGCGGCAGAGAGACUGCCGAGUGAUUGUGUCACAAGUGUGUUAGAUUCUGCUUGAUGAACAAAUGAAAUUUUCUUCGAGUCUUAUCAAUGGCUAAUGAUGAUUUAUUUGCAGCAUGAAACGACGACCCCAAAGUCUGUGAUGGAAUUUGGUUGGAGUUUACAUUGACCAGGAACAAUCGCAGCUGAAAUUCUUGCUGGAUCGUGUCAUUUUUUAUUUGCAUCAGUCUAAGGAAUGCAUGGAGUCCAUCCGAACCUGUUAUCAUCUUUGCCAUCAGUUUCUGGAAUGCGCCAAGAGCUUAACCGUUACUUCGGUACAGAUACACGUCGGAAAGAUGAAUAAUACUGGGGACACGUUUGCCGACUAGUUUGAUGCGAAUAUCUCCGGGCGUUGGGAGAGUGUGGUUUGCUCCAAGCGCUGCCUCGAGUCCGGUGGAAUAAUCGGCGCAGAUACGCAUAUAUGCCAAUGAUAAGGAGCUGCCCGAUCGGAGAAUUCGAUGAGCGUGAUAAUAUCCAUACGUUGGAGCAGUUCCGAUUCUUCUUCUACUUUUUAAGCGGCACAGAAAGGAACAGCUCGCUUGUGUCAAAAAAUUGACUGCCCAUCGUGUUUUAGGUUCAGACGAAUUUUAGUUUUAGUGCAGUGACUCAGAUGUUAUUAAAAAAAACUUCGAAGCCCCGAGUUAGGAAGUGCUAAUCAUUACAAAGGAACUUGGAAAGUUUCGCCUGAUUGCAGUGUGCAGCAAGUGGUUUUAACCAAAGAUCGAAUGCAUUCAUCAGUCCAUUCCAAUAAUGUUUAGAUAUUUGACCGAAAUUACGUAGAAAUACUCCAUUCGAACUGGCUUAUGAUGUUCAAUGUACUGAACUCCCCUACCGAAUCAAGAGGUUCUUCAUGCACGGAUGUUACAUCCAUUUGUGUGGGAUUGAACGUAGGUCAAUAAUCUUAUAAUUUUUUUGUGUGAUCACCGAAAUGUCGAAACAAAAGUCGAGCUUAAGAUCCGCUUAGGAGCCGUAGAAGUUGACGGAAACAUAUCUCGUACGACUCUGUAUAUGCAUCACUGACUGAAUCGUCUUCAUUUGCGUUUUCUUGCCUUUCUUGUUGACCUUCUUGUCGCCUGCGGAUGUUGACUGAGGACUGACAAUGCUCUGAAAUGCAUAGCUCUACACUAUCAGCACGGAAAUGGAGAAGUUUUACCGUCCGUUGUUGUUGGUUUUGAUUGACUGUUUCUUGAUCUGCCGAACCGCCUAAACCGAAGCUGAACGAUUCUUCCACCAACGCCACAUCAUGCUUGAGGUUUGACAGGCCCUGGCAUUCGGUCAUCAAACCAUAGGUGUUCACAUCGGAAGUAUCGGAGCUUCGAUAGGAUAUGGGUGUCUGUCGUCGUUUUGAGGCUGCAGUUGAACACCAAAUGCCUCGCACUCGCACGGUUCACCACCCCGGCACAAGUGACGAAAUUAUCGGCUUCGUUCUUAAUAAGGUGAAUGCAAUUGUAAUGCUUACAGAACAAAGACUUUUGCUGUCCAAAUAUCGACUUCGGCUUGAACUUGUCCACAACCUGAUGGAACGUGAAAUUGCGUUGUUCAUAUGACAAAAGAAAAUUCAAAACCGUAACGCUGAGGUUACACAGUGGAGCCGCACCUUUCCCAAGUCAUUCAGGGUGCUACCAUCCUGCCUGAAGCAGUCUUAGUACUUUGAGAACCAUUGGUCGAACGUGAACACAUUUUAUGGUCCGAAGUGAAACUCUCUGAUGGCAGCGGAGAGUUUAAUAAUGUGUUUUAGUAUUCUCAAAUCUUUAAACUCAUCGCCAAAAAUUAAACAUAACAUAAAACAAGUUUGAGGAACAAACGACAUUUACAGUAGAACCCCAAUUAUCCGCGAUGCGUACAGGUCAUAACUUAAUAUGGUCAGAAAACUGCGAUCGUUCUGAAAUUUUAGCAAAAUGCUUUUAGAUAUUCUACUAUACAAAAAACUAAAAACAGAUUUUAAAAAAUCAAACCAAAAUUAUAACU